CCCCCCCUAAAUUCCCCUAAAUUUCCCUCUAUUUUGGGGCAUNNNNNNNNNNAAGGGGUUAUAUAACGACAGGAGGGGUUAUAUCGCAACAGGAGGGGGUUAUAUCGCGACAGGAAGGGGUCAUAUCGCGAUAGGAGGGGCGUGUCGCGACAGGAGGGUAUUUUGGGGGAGCCUUUACACGCCCCCAUUGAACCGUUUAGACGAAAAACCGACCCAAAACCAGAGGCGUCCCCAAAACCAAGUCAGCCAGUGACCCCCCCCCCCCCAAAAUCCCCUAAAUUUCCCUCUAUUUUGGGGCAUUUCGCUUGAAAAAAAACUUAAAAUGAGCUCCGAGGGGCUCCGCGGCCAGGCAAACUGCGGGAAAAAGCCCCAAAAAUAUCCCAAAGCGGCCCCGACCCCCCCAAAAAAAAGGUGCCGCUGUUUUUGGGGUCAGCGCGGCCCCCCCUAAACCCUGCCCCCCUUGUUUACCCCCAGAUUUGAUGAGAUUUUAUGAGAUUUGAUAAUAAUUUGGUGACAUUUGAUGAUAUUUGAUGAUAUUUGGUGAUAUUUGAUAAUAAUUUGAUGAAAUCUGAUAAAAUUUGAGCUAAUUUUUUGAGCCCCUCACCCCCAGAGCCGCGUGCAAUAAAGGCGCCCGCUGCCACACCCGGUGCUGUACUUUAACAGAUUCUGCGAGUUCUUACCCCAAAACGACGGGCUUACUGGGCUCAACCCCAGAGGCUCCGACCCAGCUGCAAAACACGGAAAAUUGGAAAAACGAAGAAUUGACCCCAAAAUGACACCCACGGCUCCUGAACCAGCAGGGCCAGAGAAGGACCCGGUCCCAGGGGUUACUGGGAGCACUGGGCCCCACCUACCAGGGUUACUGGGAGCAUUGGGCUGUACUGGAAGCACUGGGCCACACAUACUGGGGUUACUGGGAGCACUGGGCUACACACACCAGGCUUACUGGGAGCACUGGGGCCCACAUACUGGGGUCACUGGGAGCACUGGGCCGUACUGGGAGCACUGGGCUACACACACCAGGCUUACUGGGAGCACUGGGCCCCACAUACUGGGGUUACUGGGAGCACUGGGC
rnacentral:lncRNA from 1 species